rnacentral:rRNA from 1 species
GAUGAACGCUGGCGGCGUGCCUAAUACAUGCCAGUCGAGCGAACAGACGAGGAGCUUGCUCCUCUGACGUUAGCGGCGGACGGGUGAGUAACACGUGGAUAACCUACCUAUAAGACUGGGAUAACUUCGGGAAACCGGAGCUAAUACCGGAUAAUAUAUUUAACCGCAUGGUUCAAUAGUGAAAGACGGUUUUGCUGUCACUUAUAGAUGGAUCCGCGCCGCAUUAGCUAGUUGGUAAGGUAACGGCUUACCAAGGCAACGAUGCGUAGCCGACCUGAGAGGGUGAUCGGCCACACUGGAACUGAGACACGGUCCAGACUCCUACGGGAGGCAGCAGUAGGGAAUCUUCCGCAAUGGGCGAAAGCCUGACGGAGCAACGCCGCGUGAGUGAUGAAGGUCUUCGGAUCGUAAAACUCUGUUAUUAGGGAAGAACAAAUGUGUAAGUAACUAUGCACGUCUUGACGGUACCUAAUCAGAAAGCCACGGCUAACUACGUG